rnacentral:rRNA from 1 species
AUUGAACGCUGGCGGCAUGCUUUACACAUGCAAGUCGAACGGUAACAGGCCGCAAGGUGCUGACGAGUGGCGAACGGGUGAGUAAUGCAUCGGAACGUGCCCAGUCGUGGGGGAUAACGCAGCGAAAGCUGCGCUAAUACCGCAUACGAUCUAUGGAUGAAAGCGGGGGACCGUAAGGCCUCGCGCGAUUGGAGCGGCCGAUGUCAGAUUAGGUAGUUGGUGGGGUAAAGGCUCACCAAGCCAACGAUCUGUAGCUGGUCUGAGAGGACGACCAGCCACACUGGGACUGAGACACGGCCCAGACUCCUACGGGAGGCAGCAGUGGGGAAUUUUGGACAAUGGGCGCAAGCCUGAUCCAGCAAUGCCGCGUGCAGGAGGAAGGCCUUCGGGUUGUAAACUGCUUUUGUACGGAACGAAACGGUCCUGGUUAAUACCCGGGGCUAAUGACGGUACCGUAAGAAUAAGCACCGGCUAACUACGUGCCAGCAGCCGCCGUAACAC